rnacentral:RNase_P_RNA from 1 species
GACAGAGGGAGCCCGACUCCCGUGCCUCCGGCAUGAGGAAAGUCCCCCCACCGGCCGGACAGGCGACCGGGCACACGCCCGGAGUCGGAGACGGCUGGCUCUGGAACAGCAACGACACCCCCCGCCCCGACCGAUGAUCCGCGCGAACCGACCCGCAAGGGAAGGGAGUUAACCCGGAGAGGGUACGUGGGUUUCCCACGUUGUACGUGGCUCCGCCGCGUCCGAGACGGGCAGGAACGGAUGGAACGGCGAAUCCUCGCCGGUGCAAGUCCGCGCCACAAGGUAGUCCGGCCGCGGCGCGGACGCUCAGCCGAAUGUCGGGACGAACCGAAGGGGGCUUACUCCCCUCAGUC